rnacentral:tRNA from 1 species
GGAGAGAUGGCCGAGUGGUUGAAAGCGUAGCAUUGGAACUGCUAUGUAGGCUUUUGCUUA